CGGUAAAGCCGAGCCGGAGCGACGAGGUGUUGUCACCCGAUGAACAGCUCAAGAUCGCCGAGCAGGUAAGGGCCCAGUUCGAUUCUGCCGCCCCAAAGCGACCCAUCAAGCCGAGCCGGAGCGACCCCGAUUCAAACCCGGUUCCCUACUUCGUCGUCGAUCAACAACCCACCAUUCCUGAGCUGGACAAAUUUCGUUCUCUCGAGUCCCAAUCCGAUGCUGUUAUAUUCUCAGCGCAGGGAGAUCCCACGGUGGAAGAUGAGUUUGUGGAUACAGAGUACUACAAGGAACUCAAUUCCAUCGACAAACAGCAUCACACGACCGGAACUGGGUUCAUAAGAGCGGUGAGAGAAGAGGGCAGUGAAGCUGAUGGGCUCCAUCUUCAUCUACCUGAAAGUCAUGCGAGAGUGGGAUCGAAGAUCAAAAGCAACCCUGCAACAAAUGAUUGGACUCCCAGGAACGAUGACGAUGACGCCAUGGAUUUAGAUCCUUAAUUACCUACUUAAUUAAUUAUCCUUUGUUAAUGUAAUUUUGUAAUUAAUUACGGAGAAGAUCACUAUGUUACAUGUAAUGGUGAUCAUGUUCAAGAAGUGGAUUGCCGUCCCAUGUAAUUUUCUCUGCAAUGUUCGUAAUGGAUCUUUUAUUUUUAAUUCUA